rnacentral:rRNA from 1 species
GUGGGGAAUAUUGCGCAAUGGGCGAAAGCCUGACGCAGCAACGCCGCGUGAGGGAUGACGGCCUUCGGGUUGUAAACCUCUUUCAGCAGGGAAGAAGCGAAAGUGACGGUACCUGCAGAAGAAGCACCGGCUAACUACGUGCCAGCAGCCGCGGUAAUACGUAGGGUGCAAGCGUUGUCCGGAUUUAUUGGGCGUAAAGAGCUCGUAGGCGGUUAGUCACGUCGGAUGUGAAAACUCAGAGCUUAACUCUGAGCCUGCAUUCGAUACGGGCUGACUAGAGUGUUGUAGGGGAGACUGGAACUCCUGGUGUAGCGGUGAAAUGCGCAGAUAUCAGGAAGAACACCGGUGGCGAAGGCGGGUCUCUGGGCAACUACUGACGCUGAGGAGCGAAAGCGUGGGGAGCAAACAGGAUUAGAAACCCUAGUAGUCC